rnacentral:miRNA from 1 species
CCGAGUAUAUGGAAUUUCUGUU